rnacentral:rRNA from 1 species
UACAGAGGGUGCGAGCGUUGUCCGGAAUCACUGGGCGUAAAGGGCGCGUAGGUGGCGACCCAAGUCGAUGGUGAAAGCUCGCCGCUCAACGGCGAGUCGGCCACCGAUACUGGGUUGCUGGAGCACUGUAGAGGGCAGAUGGAAUUCCGGGUGUAGCGGUGGAAUGCGUAGAGAGUCCGGAAGAACACCGGUGGCGAAGGCGGCUACCUGGACCGAUAUUGGACGCUGAGACGCGAAAGCGUGGGGAGCAAACAGG